UGUACAACAAACUUAGUUUUUCUUAUUUUUCCUUCUAGCACGUCUAUUGUCUUCUAGCAAAACGUACUACUUCACAUAGGAAAUAGACAAUCUUACAGAUUUCUAUCAUCCUUCUCUUUUCAACUUUGGUUUAUUCUUCACUCUUCUAAUAGUUUCUUUGUCAUUUGUUUUGGUCAUUUAUCUCCUCUUUCUCCAUUUUACUUUUUCAAUGAAAAUUAAUUUUUCUAUUUUGGAAUCUCAAAUUUCACCUCUUCUUCCUUGAUUGUUCAUUCUUCUUAAUGUGUGCUCUUUGUGCUGAUGUAUCUCUUCCCUAUUAUUUUUUUUAGUGCACUUCUUUUGAUUGUAAUCAUCAUAACAAGUUUUAGAUUGUCUCUAGUUAGAUUUUAAACCUGCAUAUUAACAAUUUUUUUUCUAAUUUACUCAUGCAUGUUUGGAUACAUGCAAAUUCUAUCUCAAAGUCUCUUUUAUAAAUUUAUUUUUUCGUUUCUGCUGUUAAAAUCUAUAUAAAUUGAUGUGCCUAUGCUUUUUUUAGAAAAAAAUUUAACAAUUAUUUUGUAGUUGAAACAACUAAUUCGAUUUAAGUGAGGCACUUAAGGUGUUUAAUAGUAUGCCUAAACUAACUAAUUUUUUUUUUAUUGUUUUUCUACAGAUUUUCUACUAUGUAUUCCUUUCUACGUGAAUGAUCCAAAAGCAAUUGAAUAGCAAAAGUUGACCAAGAAAUCAGAUGGACACAACAAAUCUUCCCCUCCAGUCCCAUUCACUAAAAGGAGGAAUAUGGGAAUUUUCCUUUGUUGCUGAGCUUUGAUCAUCAAGGGUGGUCACUUAUACAUCUCUAAAUCUCUACCUGAGAAUUUAACAAAGAUAUCUUACCUACCAAGAUCUUGAUACAAUGAGAGCUUUCAUAAAGGAAGUGUGAUCAAACUUGAGGCCUACUUUGUGACCAAAUUGUCUAAGUGCUGGGAAUACUUUUGAGACAACAAGGUCAAGAUCAAGUUCUACCAAUACUUUUCUUUUCUUUAUAAUAAGCUAUUUGGGCAUGUAACCGAUUAAUAUUGUAGAAGUCUUUGAACCUCCAAACACAAUUCAUGUUUAAUGCUACGAGGUUCCUGCGAAACCCAA